rnacentral:rRNA from 1 species
AUGCUUUCACAACUUGACUUCAAAAUAUUUGGUUUGGAGACCAUCAAAGAUCAAUAUGUGCAUGAUGCUGAUUUUAAAGAUGUAAUGCAGAAUUGUAAAGAAGGAAGAAUGUGGAACAAGUUUGUCGUUAACGAUGGAUUUGUGUUUCGUGCUAACAAGCUAUGCAUUCUAGCUAGCUCCGUUCGUCUUUUGUUGUUGCAGGAGGCGCAUGGAGGAGGAUUAAUGGGACACUUUGGCGUGAAGAAGACGGAGGACGUACUUGCUACACAUUUCUUUUGGCCAAAGAUGAGACGGGAUGUUGAGCGUUUUAUUGCUCGAUGCACUACAUGUCAAAAAGCUAAGUCACGACUCAAUCCUCAUGGUUUAUAUAUACCUUUGCCUGUACCUAGUGUUCCUUGGGAGGAUAUAUCUAUGGACUUUGUUUUAGGUUUACCUCGAACAAAGAAGGGGAGGGAUAGCAUAUUUGUUGUCGUGGAUAGAUUCUCGAAAAUGGCACACUUUAUACCAUGUCAUAAAAGCGAUGAUGCUGUUAAUGUUGCUGAUUUGUUCUUUCGUGAAAUUAUUCGCUUGCAUGGUGUGCCAAAUACUAUUGUUUCAGAUCGUGAUACUAAAUUUCUUAGCCACUUUUGGAGAUGUUUAUGGGCUAAGUUGGGGACUAAACUGCUUUUUAGUACUACUUGUCACCCCCAAACUGAUGGACAAACUGAAGUAGUCAAUAGAACGUUGUCUACUAUGCUUAGGGCUGUUUUGAAGAAUAAUAAGAAAAUGUGGGAGGAAUGCUUGCCUCAUAUUGAAUUUGCUUAUAAUCGUUCAAUGCAUUCUACUACUAAGAUGUGCCCUUUUAAAGUUGUGUAUGGUUUCCUACCUCGUGCACCUAUUGAUUUGUUGCCUCUUCCAUCUUCGGAGAAGGUUAAUUUUGAUGCUAAACAACGUGCUGAAUUGAUUUUAAAAAUGCAUGAGUUAACUAAGGAAAACAUUGAGCGCAUGAAUGCUAAAUAUAAACUUGCUGGAGAUAAGGGUAGAAAACAUGUUGUGUUUGCACCUGGAGAUCUUGUUUGGUUACAUUUGCGUAAGGAUAGAUUUCCUGAUUUGCGCAAAUCAAAGUUAAUGCCACGAGCUGAUGGUCCCUUUAAGGUGUUAGAGAAAAUAAAUGAUAAUGCAUAUAAACUUGAGCUGCCUGCAGAUUUUGGGGUUAGUCCCACUUUUAACAUUGCAGAUUUGAAGCCUUAUUUGGGUGAGGAAGAUGAACUUCCGUCGAGGACGACUUCAUUUCAAGAAGGGGAGGAUGAUGAGGACAUCAAUACAAUUGUUACACCCACAGCCCCUGCUGCUAUACAUACUGGACCAAUUACUAGAGCUCGUGCACGCCAACUAAAUUACCAGGUACUUUCGUUUCUUGGUAAUGAUUCUAAUGUUCAUGAGAAUAUGAUGCUGCCUAAAUUGGAUACAUUUGUUUUGCUUACAAAUGAAGGGCCUAGCUUGGAGAAGGAUGAACAUUGGAGCAAGAACAAGCAUGGAGAUGAUGGCAUGCGCAAGGGGAACAAGAACGGAGUUACAAGUGAUGAUUUCAGGACUUUGAAGCCACCAUAA